UUCGUUGUUGUGCAGCUUCCGAGGAAGCUCCUUAAAAUCUAUGCAAUCCUUCCUGUUCCUGCUGCUACAAACUUCCUGUUCCUGCUGAUACAUUCGUCGGACUAACUUAUGAUUGAAAAUUGACGGCAUCCGGAGAAUUAUUUUCUUGUCAUCUUAUGAAACAUCAAUGGAAGAUCAGUGUUCUAUAAAACUGUCCAUGCAUAUUUACUGCAAGGUUUCGAAACCAUUUAGCCAGUCUGGCAUGCACAUAUCCUGUUGUGAGCUAAUCCCCUGGAAAGACACAUGAAAGUUUUCCACCCUAAAACUUCUAGAUCGGAUUUGGAUUCAAACCCUCUCACUUGAAAUCUCACCCCAUAAGUAACAAUGAAUCAACAAUUUGACGCCACAACACUCAGUUCACGGCCCCUUCAUGUUAUAUUGAAAAGAAAAGGCAGGAUCACCAGAGGUCGCACAGAUGGAAUACUUAACACCUAGCAUUAUCUUUGUGUUUCCUGAUAUUAAGUACCGCCCCAUAGUUCCACAUCGGCCAAAUCAUUCAUAUAUCUUAUA